UUCUUGUUGCAGCGACGAUGCUAUUGCUUCUUCUUCUUCAUCUUCUUCACGAUUCUUCUCUUCUUCUUCUUUAUCGUUUUCACAUGGCUGCUUCUAGUGCCAAAAACAUUGGAGAAAGAUACUAGAGCUCCCAAGGAAGAUUCUUCGAAUGUUCUUUUUUCAUCAAUUCAAUCUUGCCGUCGAGAGAAUUAUGGUCUUCGAGGGUUAGGGUUUUCAAUUCUUAUGAAGACGAGCCGAAAUCAAUCUGUUGAAUUCGAUGAUUUUCUCGGAUGAAUGAAGGUUGUGAUGCUUCCGUCGAUCUUUGGUCGAUUUAUCUUGAGAUUCUUAGCAUAGCAUUCGUUCUAAACAAUGGAUCAUGAUACUCGCAGCAAUAAGCUUCAGAAAUUCUUUGUCGCCAUGGAAACGGCCUUUUAGGGAACAGAUGAAAUUAUCAAUUGCGCCUUGGAGGGUUUGAAGAAAUAAGUCAGGAAAGAACUAUGAUCAGGGCUUUCCCACCUUCUACCGAGGAUGUCGAGACGCCCAGCAGAUUGUCGACAAGAUACAACUGCUUAGAAUCUGCUUGAUGUCUACUUGUUGUUUCAUGAUGAUGGUUAUUUGUUGCUUGCACAGAAGGACCUACUGAAAAUCAACUCUUUUGAAGCUGUUGCACACUCAUUAGAAACCUGAUGCAUCAAAGUCAAAUGACCAUAUUCUGGCAGGAGCAGAUGAGUUCUUGCCUCUCCUCAUGUAUGCUACAAUCAUGACAAAUCCUGCGCACCUUGCAUUCUUUUCUCAAGUUCAUCCAUCCAAUUAUACUGAAGGAAGGCAAAAAUUGUCCCUGAGGAUAAACCUUGUCUCGGACAAGUCAUUUAAGAAGUUGUGCAGCACCGAGUAAGAAGGUAGAAUCCGGUUCAUCUACCAAUCGGUAUCUUUGAGCUUCUUGAUUGCUCAUAACAGAUCUGGAGUACCCCCAUAAUAUGGAGGCAGACGCCAGUGACCUGGUUCUGAAUGUGGAAGAUGCUUAGAGAUUGCUGACUAUACAAGGAAAUGCUGGUGAGGCUUAUGAAUGAGGAGCAAGUAAAAAAGAAGAAGGAAAGGUAAUGCAAAGCAUCCCAAAACAAAACAUUCGACUUUCAUAAAUGUCUUAAUCCCAUGUUUACAUAACACUUUUAAGCUUAGGAUUGAAAUCUUGAAGUGGUCAUGUGUUAGUUACAAUCACGGGUAGAAACCUUAAGCCAUUUGCAGUUUUGUGCCUAGAUAAGAACCUAUAUACAGAAAGAUCAUAAAUACAGUCAGCCUACUCUAAGUGUUACGGAUAAAUUAGAUCCACUGCCCAUAGCAGCUGACUCACCUCUACAAACAAAGCCAGCUUUGGGCACUUGACUAGAUCCACGCUCUUUUUUAGAUUGCUUUGGUUUCUUGCUGUACAACUCAAUGCAUCUGAAACAAAGGAACUUGGAAGGUAGGGCAUCAGCGUUAUUGAUCCCAAUACAUCUAGUGUGGUGCCACACACCACAUCCAUCACAGGCCAACAUCCUCUCGCCAUCAUCAUCCUUUGUGCCACACUUGCAAUCAACUUUCCAAUUAUCCACCCCUCUCUCCAUGCGGUAUCUAAGGAGCCCGUGUUUUGAGCAUCUCCCUUUAAUCCGUAUGACCCCGUUUGUGCCAACUAGAAAUUUCAGGGUAAUAGAGUCAUCUAUAGAACCGUAACCUAGGAGCUCCUCAACUUCAAACCUCUUGAACAUUGCAUACACUUCCUGAAAAGCCUUAGCAGCUUCGAUUUUAAGGUCGGAAACAGUAGCGUUCAAUGGCAAAACCAACCGUUCAGGUGGAGGGGCUGGGGAUUCUUUGAGUUCAUCCGAAAGCUCAACACAGCACCAGAGGUUGAUUGCAACGGGGUUCACUGUGCUAGACAGAUUCAAGCCUGGAGUUCAUAUGCAAAGGUUAAGAUUAUUAUGCACACUGGAAACCAACCAAUCAGAAUAAGAAGAAACAUCUCUUGUAAGUUUACCUGUACUCAAAGUCGUUUGAACCAGGAUUGCAACGUGAGCUGACUACUCGAGAUCCAUCAUCCACCAAAACCCCUCCAAAAUGCUUGAGACAGUAAUCAAUCAGUUGUGGAGAGGCUGAUUUGCAAAUAGACCUCUUGAGAGCCCACCUUGUAACCCAGUUGGCUUGUGGGCGUCCUGAAGCUUUCAGUAUCUUAACCAUGGUUUGCUGUACACGUUCCACAUCACUUUUAGACCAAGCACACAGUACAGACGACUUAGAUGCAGGUUUGGAACUGUUCUCACGAAUCAUCUGUAGGAGAAAGGAGAAGAGGUCUUUGACAGUCACAAGCUCUGAACACGAGAGUGAUUGGUAGAAGCUAAUAAUGGAGUGGAGCUGAGUUCUUGGUUUCCUCCCCUGGAACAAAAACUCAGAGAGAGGAAUCGCAGAUAAAGUAUCCACUGCACUCUGGUAAGCUUCUUUGGUGAGUGCAUAGCUCCCCGAUUUGAAUUCAUAACCCCACUCACUGUACCACGAACACCCUCUAGUAAUCCCAUGAAGCAACCGGUAGUCCAUCCCAUACUUCCUUGACACAUCCAUCACACUAGCUUUUCGAACAGCAAGGGAGGAACAAAGCCUAUCCCAGAAGUCCAUAAUGGCACGACCAGUCAAAAAACCAGAGCCACCUUCUCUUCCAUUAAGACACAGUAGAUGAGCGUAGCCAUUAGAGUGGAUAACGCCGUGAAGGAGGUGAGUGUUAUCCUCUAGCUGAGAGUAAACCCAGUUUUCAAUGUCUAAAGCCAUGCUGCACCAUUUGCAAUUGCUACCUUCAGACAAAUUCUGAGUAUUACCACACCUCGUGCAAGCCUUAGUGUCUCCUCCUGACCUUAUGAUGAAGCGGUACCUCUUUCUACACACUGGAUGACUACUCCAACCUUCAAAACCAACAGAUUUUCUCAGUCUAUGCAUGCACCAUAUCAAGAGUGUUCACAGUAAACAGAUCUAGAGGAUCUCGUCACAUCCUCCUCCACAACGUCGAGAGAGACGAGUUUAGAAGAGAGAUCUGAACCGUCCGUCGAAUCUCCAGGUCUAAGCAUGAUCUGCCACGUCAUCAAACUCGAGAAGAGCGUCGAAGGAGGGAAAGUGACACGCGCGUGGGUCGCGAGGAAGGUUCUCACACCGUCUCGGAACGGCGGCAAAGUCGUCGACUCGCCGUUGAUCUCCGCCGUCGGGAAAGUAGAGAAAUCGUAAAGAUCAGCUGAGAUUCUGUUGCUACGCCUCGCUCGCUUCGUCGCACGACCACCGUUCAUCACCGCCAUGACUGUGUAACAAGGGUUUUUUCCGACACUUAAAUUAAAACUAGAAUAAGAGUUAAAGAUACAGAGAGAGAGAUUUGAGAUAGAUACAGAGGAGGGGAGAGAGAGAAGGUGAAGAGGUUUAAGGAGAGAGUAAUUUUGGCGGAGAGAUUUUCCCUCUCAAAAGUUUUGGAGGAUUUUAGGGUUUUGGGGGGUAUUGACUAAAAGCUUGACUUGACCGCUUCUGAUGGGGGAAGGAAGGAAGGUAGAUGCUUUUUAUUUUCCUUUUCUCUACUCACCAAUUUCGGGAGAGAGUGGGUCCCCCUGAUUCCAAAUUCGAGGCGGUUUCGAUUUCUUUUUCUCCACGCCUUUUUUUGUUUUUAUUUGUUUCCCUAUUUUGUUCGAUUUCUUUUAUUUCAAUAAGUUAGCUAAUUAAGUCCUUUUUUGUCCUCAAUAAAACCAAAGCUAAUUAAGUCCUAUCCAUUAUCCAGUUCCGAUUGUGACACCUUCUGUUUUGUAGAAAUUCUACCCCAAUAAGAUCUCUCAGAUUCAAUGAUUUUUGUUUUAAUUAAGU
rnacentral:lncRNA from 1 species